UAUCAUUUCAGGCGUUAUACUCCAUGAUUUUUCGCCACUUCGUGCUCAUUGUUUCAUCUCUGUUAUUCCAUUUCGUGAUCUGUUUCUUGUUAAAUACAUGCUUUUGUUAAUUGUUUGUUGAAAUGAGAUUUAAGUCUGUUGGCCAUAGACUAGAAAGAAGCAAGUCAUCGGUCGAUACUCAUUUUGAAAUGUCGAAGUGUGACAAUGUUGGCGAAGACGCCCACUCUCAGCAUACCGAUGAUGUUUCCGCUGUUGAAACGACUCAAGUAGUAGAAUCGUCUCAAGGAAUGGUAUUAGCUGAAGAUAGUGAAGAGGAAGCUUCGCAAUAAAUUCCUAGUGUUGAAAAAGGGGAGACCGUUGUGCAGCCUAGUGUAUCUGAAAAUGAUAAAGAGAUGUCAGAGAUGGUUCAAAGAUCGCCUAGACCAACGCUGACCAAAUUGAUGAUUAUUCAAAGUCGGCUGAAAUGUACUGCUUCUGUUGUUGUUAAAAACAUUGAAGAACCAAAGCUGUUGUAACAAACUAUUAAAAAUGUAGUGAAGCCGGCUAUUCGAUCUUCGAAGCGUUCAAAGACGGCUGGAGCUUCUUCCAUUGCCACCAGAAAACCAGCCAAGCAUGUUUUUUUUGAAACAAAUAAGGAAGAUAGUCGUGAAGAAGCUACUUCUGCCAAUAAACAAGUAAAAAAAGAAUUAUGUUGGUGCUGCGAAAAGGAAAGUGUCGUUUGAACCGAUGGAUGAUGAUAGUGGUGUUGAUAAAACUAUGAAGAAAUCAUCAAUUAAGAAGAAAACUGUCAAGAGUGCUGCUGAUGCGAAGAGAAAAGCUUCUAUCGAAAUUUAUGGACAUGAAGAAGUCUUGGUCGAGAAAUCAAUGAAGAUAUGGUUCAUUUUAUUUUAUUUUGGAUAGUUAAUUUUGUUUAACUUGUAGUGAUGGUUUUUUA